CGAUAUCGACGAGUUUAUCCUGGCUCAGAACGACGCUGGCGGCAGGCCUAACACAUGCAAGUCGAGCGCGCCCUUCGGGGUGAGCGGCGACGGGUGAGUAACGCGUGGGAACGUGCCCUUUUCUACGGAAUAGUCUCGGGAAACUGGGGGUAAUACCGUAUGUGCCCUCUGGGGGAAAGAUUUAUCGGCAAAGGAUCGGCCCCGCGUUGGAUUAGGUAGUUGGUGGGGUAAUGGCCUACCAAAGCCGACGAUCCAUAGCUGGUUUGAGAGGAUGAUCAGCCACACUGGGACUGAGACACGGCCCAGACUCCUACGGGAGGCAGCAGUGGGGAAUCUUAGGCAAUGGGGGCAACCCUGAUCUAGCCAUGCCGCGUGAGUGAUGAAGGCCCUAGGGUUGUAAAGCUCUUUCAGCUGGGAAGAUAAUGACGGUACCAGCAGAAGAAGCCCCGGCUAACUCCGUG
rnacentral:rRNA from 1 species